GCAAUUUCUUGAUCUAAGACACAACCUAGUUACUCGAACUCAAUACACUUUUCAAGUUCUUAAGCCAAUCCUUAAAAUUGGAACCUAACAAUCGAUUGUACUCAAAGAAGUGGGCAAGUCACUUAGAGGCAAAUAAUUUUUCUAUAGAGAGAAGAAGAUUCUAAUUAGACUUUUGUAAUUGAAUUAGUUUGUUUUAGAGAGUUUAUUUUAAAAACA
rnacentral:lncRNA from 1 species